rnacentral:precursor_RNA from 1 species
CCAUCCUCAGACAUGCUGUGUGUGGUACCCUACUGCAGACGUGGCAAUCAUGUAUAAUUAAAAAUGAUUGGUACGUCUGUGGGUAGAGUACUGCAUGACACGUGCAACAUACAUGAU